ACCCUCUCAGGACUGCAGCUGGAGAGUUUCUAGUACUCUACCAGUCUCGGCCAAGGGAGAGAGAGUCAAAUAGAGGCGUAACCAUUCCAUUUCUAGCUUGGGCAAUGGCUAGCGAGUGGAAGGCAAUCUGCUACAAGA